rnacentral:rRNA from 1 species
AUGGGCACCAUGGCCACCAGCACCAUCGCCGCCGGUACCCUCCACAGCCGCCAUCUCCAUUGCCGCAUUCUCCUGCUACUGUUACCAUACCUCACAAUCGCGUUCCUACUCGUCGAUGGCGGCGGCAUUCCGACGACGCUGGACGGCCCGUUCACGCCAGCCACCCGCGCGUUCGACCGCUCGCUGCGGCAGGGCAGCGAGGACGUCCCGCUCUCCGACCCCCGCCUGGUCCCGCGCGCGCGCCCGCCGUCCCCAGAGCAGAUCGCGCUCGCCGCCUCGGCCGACCCCUCCUCGCUCUGGGUCUCCUGGGUCACGGGCCGCGCCCAGGUCGGCUCCCACCUCACCCCUCUCGACCCCACCGCCAUCCGCAGCGAGGUCUGGUACAGCGAGCGCCCCGCCUCCACCGACACCGUCGGCCACCCGCACGUGGCGAGGGGCUCGGCGGAGGUGUACAGUCAGCUCUACCCGUACCCGGGCCUCCUCAACUACACCUCCGGCGUCAUUCACCACGUCCGACUCGUGGGCCUGACGCCGUCCACCCGCUACUACUACCGCUGCGGUGACAGCUCCCUCAAGGACGGCCUCAGCGACGAGCGCUCUUUCCGGACACUGCCCGCGCCGGCGCCGGACGCGUACCCUCGCCGCGUCGCGGUGGUUGGGGACCUUGGGCUCACCGGCAACUCCACCUCCACCGUCGACCACCUCGCCAGGAACGACCCGUCCAUGAUCUUGAUGGUCGGCGACAUGACGUAUGCCAACCAGUACCGCACCACCGGCGGCAGAGGCGUCCCCUGCUUCUCCUGUUCCUUCCCAGAUGCCCCGAUUCGGGAGUCCUACCAGCCGCGAUGGGACGGCUGGGGAAGAUUCAUGGAGCCGCUUGCGUCGAGGGUGACAAUGAUGGUGACCGAAGGGAACCAUGAGAUUGAGCCGCAGGGGCACGGCGGAGCGGUGACCUUCGCCUCCUACUUGGCGCGCUUCGCUGUGCCGUCGGAGGAGUCUGGAUCCAACACCAAGUUCUUCUACUCAUUUAACGCGGGUGGUAUUCACUUCAUCAUGCUUGGUGCCUACGUCGACUACAAUCGCACAGGAGCUCAGUACUCGUGGUUAGAGAAGGAUCUGCAGAAAGUUGAUCGACGAGUCACACCAUGGGUUGUCGCUUCUUGGCACACGCCGUGGUAUAACAGCUAUUCCUCGCACUACCAGGAAUUUGAGUGUAUGAGGCAAGAAAUGGAAGGACUCCUCUAUCAACAUGGGGUCGACAUUGUCUUCUCAGGCCAUGUACACGCAUACGAAAGGAUGAACCGGGUGUUCAACUACACGUUGGACCCGUGCGGGCCGGUUUACAUUACGAUCGGGGAUGGCGGUAACAUUGAGAAAAUCGACAUUGAUCAUGCAGAUGACCCUGGAAAGUGCCCCUCACCAGGUGACAACCAACCUGAAUUUGGUGGAGUCUGCCAUUUGAACUUCACUUCUGGUCCUGCCAAGGGGAAGUUUUGCUGGGAACGACAGCCGGAAUGGAGCGCAUUCAGGGAAAGCAGUUUCGGCCACGGUAUUCUAGAGGUUGUGAAUUCGACAUAUGCCUUGUGGACAUGGCACCGGAACCAGGAUACAUACGGAGAACACAGUGUGGGAGAUCAGAUCUACAUAGACAGUCCCUCGGUGGGAUGCCCUUCUUCAACAUUAAGUAGCACCUCAGGUGUUGAACAAGCUGCUAAAAAUGGCCGUCUCCUUUGGACUACUACAUGUAUGAUUUUGAUCAGUACAGUUUUGAGGCGAAGCCUGUGCACCAGGCAAAAUAUAUGGGCAGUGUGGUAG